rnacentral:lncRNA from 1 species
AGGUACUUAAAGCAAACUAGGGCACAUUUUAAAGUGUCAAAGUAAUAAUCACAUCUGUUCCCCAGCUCCUCUCAGUGUUUUCCUUGGCUUUCUUCCUGCCACACCUACUUUUGACCAAGGGCAUGCAUUUGCGUAGUCCGUAGCCAUGGAAGGACUAAGGAGAUCAGCUAAUAUUGGAAUACUGGGCUUAGUGGUGCUAGGCAGAAGACAAAUGAACCAACCAAACACAAGUAACAAGGGUUUAUGGUAUGGUCUAUAAGCAAAAACAUUUAAAUCUCAAAGUAGAACCAUUUAAGAAUACUGAAAAACCUCUUCAGCGAUUAGAUUUUAUUUAAUACAAGCAAAGUAAAAAACACGAAUGCCUCAAUAUGAAAUGGCUGAAAAAAAUUUCCAAAGAUUGAUGUUCUCCCAGAAAUGAUUUUUUGAGCUUAAUUUGCUUACCUGAACUUUGAGAUAAGACAAAAUCUAAAGGUCUCUCUUCAAAAUGUGUUGUAACCAGAAAGCUCUGCAAACCCAUGUGGAACUAAAUAGUAGUAUUUCUGAGGUUAGGCUGUCUGUGUGCUUUCUGGGCUAGAAGGUCAAACUUGAGUGAUAUGUGAAGGAGAGAGGAAGAAGCAGUAUUGCGCAGUGGUCACAGUGAUAACCGUGGUCUCAGGGUCAAAGGCGAUGGGAAUGCUGCAUAGAGAGGGGAGCUGUAAGUAAGGCUUUGCAGAAGAGGAAU